rnacentral:rRNA from 1 species
GUGGGGAAUCUUCCGCAAUGGACGAAAGUCUGACGGAGCAACGCCGCGUGAGUGAAGAAGGUUUUCGGAUCGUAAAGCUCUUUCGUUAGGGACGAACGUGCUCUUUGUGAAUAAUGAGGAGUAAUGACGGUACCUAAAUAAGAAGCCACGGCUAACUACGUGCCAGCAGCCGCGGUAAUACGUAGGUGGCAAGCGUUGUCCGGAAUUAUUGGGCGUAAAGCGCGCGCAGGCGGGAUAUCAAGGCUGUCUUAAAAGUGCGAGGCUCAACCUCGUGAGGGGACAGAAACUGGUAUUCUUGAGUGUCGGAGAGGAAAGUGGAAUUCCAAGGGUAGCGGUGAAAUGCGUAGAGAUUUGGAAGAACACCAGUGGCGAAGGCGACUUUCUGGACGAUGUCUGACACUGAGGCGCGAAAGCUAGGGGAGCGAACGGGAUUAGAUACCCGGGUAGUCC